rnacentral:rRNA from 1 species
UACGUAGGGGGCGAGCGUUGUCCGGAAUCAUUGGGCGUAAAGAGCGUGUAGGCGGUUCGGUAAGUCUGCCGUGAAAUCCCGGGGCUUAACCCCGGGCUUGCGGUGGAUACUGCCGGGCUAGAGGGUGGUAGAGGCGAGUGGAAUUCCCGGUGUAGCGGUGAAAUGCGCAGAUAUCGGGAGGAACACCAGUAGCGAAGGCGGCUCGCUGGGCCAUUCCUGACGCUGAGACGCGAAAGCUAGGGGAGCGAACAGG